UACAGAGACUGCAAGCGUUAUUCGGAUUCACUGGGCGUAAAGGGUGCGCAGGCGACCGUGUGUGUGAGGCGUGAAAGCCCGGGGCUUAACCCCGGAAUUGCACCUCAAACUACAUGGCUAGAGCAUUGGAGAGGGUAGCAGAAUUCAUGGUGUAGCAGUGAAAUGCGUAGAUAUCAUGAGGAAUACCAGAGGCGAAGGCGGCUACCUGGACAAUUGCUGACGCUCAGGCACGAAAGCGUGGGGAGCAAAAGGG
rnacentral:rRNA from 1 species